GGACUACCAGGGUUUCUAAUCCUGUUUGAUCCCCACGCUUUCGUGCCUCAGCGUCAAUAAUAGUGUAGCGAGCUGCCUUCGCAAUGGGUGUUCUAUGUCAUAUCUAAGCAUUUCACCGCUACAUGACAUAUUCCGCUCACCUCCACUAUAUUCAAGACAAAUAGUAUCCACGGCAGUUUCCAAGUUAAGCUUGGAGAUUUCACCACGGACUUACCUGCCCGCCUACGCACCCUUUAAACCCAGUGAAUCCGGAUAACGCUUGCACCCUCCGUAUUACCGCGGCGGCUGGCAC
rnacentral:rRNA from 1 species